rnacentral:rRNA from 1 species
CCUACGGGAGGCUGCAGUGGGGAAUAUUGCACAAUGGGGGAAACCCUGAUGCAGCGACGCCGCGUGAGUGAAGAAGUAUUUCGGUAUGUAAAGCUCUAUCAGCAGGGAAGAAAUACUGACCUUACGGUCAGCAGACGGUACCUGACUAAGAAGCCCCGGCUAACUACGUGCCAGCAGCCGCGGUAAUACGUAGGGGGCAAGCGUUAUCCGGAUUUACUGGGUGUAAAGGGAGCGUAGACGGCAGCGCAAGUCUGAAGUGAAAUCCCAUGGCUUAACCAUGGAACUGCUUUGGAAACUGUGCAGCUGGAGUGCAGGAGAGGUAAGCGGAAUUCCUAGUGUAGCGGUGAAAUGCGUAGAUAUUAGGAGGAACACCAGUGGCGAAGGCGGGUUCCUGGACAUUAACUGACGCUGAGGCACGAAGGCCAGGGGAGCGAAAGGGAUUAGAUACCCCGGUAGUC